UAAUUAUGCCGAAUUUAGGUUAAUAUAUCUCAUUGCAAACCCUAGCUCUUUGCAAACUAAAUGCGAAUCGUUUACGAAGUAUACUAUAAGCUAAAUUGAUUUUUAAAAUUCAUUUUUAAUUAAGUACAGCAAGGAAAAUUGCCAAAUUAGCCAUAUUCUUCAAUUUAAAAUCAGAUCACUAAUGUACAAAAGUAGUUACAUGGUUAACACCACAAAAGCGGAUGGAAAUAGCCUAUAACCUCCUGGUAAUUAAAUAACGUGCGUGCUAACUCAAUAGUUACCGUCUAAAAUUCAUCGUUAUUCUCAAUUUGUAUAACAAAACUGCAAGUCAGAUUGUGAGUAAGUGGGAUUUGCUAUAUUUUUGCAACGAUUUGUUUCGCUAACAAAUUGGCGGUCGGACUAUCGGCGCGUCCAGCGACGUAUAGUCAGCUCGAUAAUUGGGGACGUCCAUAUUUAUAUAUUCGUGUUCUGCAUUAUUAAUUUAUUUUCAAAUCGAUUGUUUUUAAGGUCUGUGAACAAGAAUAUAUGAAUAUGGACCCCCCCCAAAUUAUCGGAGCUUGCUACGCCGCUGCAAGCGACAUGAAAUUAUGAGAUCUUACUUUCAAUCAGUAUGAAGAAUAAUAAAUUAUUUCUUUAUACAGAUAUCCCGUGCCCCUGUGGUUGGGAGAAAAUUUUGAAUAGCUGUUACCUGUUUGUGGAGGACACGGUCACUUGGGACACAGCUCGCGCAGAUUGUCUGCAUGCAACGUGGUGGAGACCUAGUCAUUCCAACCAACACAACAGAAUGCGAUCUUCUCAGUCAGCGUGCUUCGAACCUUGAAAUGAGUAUUCCGUGGAUCGGUCUAUUCAGGUACCUU